GUUUUAAUAGUUUAAAGAAAAACGUUGGUCUUGUAAAUCAAUAAUGAGGGUUCCUCUUAAAACU
rnacentral:tRNA from 1 species